UCAGCCAACUAUAUGUAUGAAUUUAACCCUAGCUAUAGAUAGGAGGGGUGUGUGCAUUUGGCGGCGAUAGAAAGGUAGAGAGCUCAAAUGAGGGGCGAGAAAGAAGAACUCAGAUGUGAGAAGGGUGUCAUCCCCGACUUCCUCAUCGUCAGACCCCUGGUUAGAAGCACGACGAAAUAGAAAUAGAGACUUGACGAAAUUGGGAUUGGGAUUGAAAAAGAGAAAGGGGAUGGAGUUGCCAAUCACCGGAGCUGCUGCCAGUUGUCGAAGUUACCGUCGGAAGAGUGAAGGAUCUCCGGUGAAGUUUCAGAAGGCUUCCGAUGUGCUGAAGAAGGCGAUUUCCAAUCACUACUUCAAGGCAUGUCUCUAUCUGAGGUUUUAAUUUAUUCAAUAGCAUUCUCAUUCUCGUCUAUUCUCAUUCUCGUGUAUAUAUGUUUGAGGAAUCAUGUACACUUCGUGAUUGAAGACUAGUUCCCGAGAUGUUUAGAUGAGAAAGGAAAGGGCUGAGUUUGGCAAAGCCUCAGGUGAAUUUCAUUGGCAGAGGAGGUCGAAGAAGGAGUUGCUAGCGAUCUGUAAACCAGUUCUGGUGGAGUACCCUCGGCUGGAGCUCCCUGGUGAAUUGGUGAUUGUUCUUGAUUAUAUGAGAUGAAGAAGAGAUCGGGAAUCUGUCAUCUAGCAGCUGGGGUCGCGUCUGUGGGACUUCAGCAGUGUGGGAUUGAGUCUGCAGGACUUCAGCAGUGUGAGACCCUGGUCCAAUGCAGUAUGCAGUAUACGUGUUCAUGCUAGUUGAUAUGUUUAUGCUAUGUUAUGUUCAGUCAGUUCCGGACUUCGGUCCGAUGCAGUUAGUUCCGGACUUCGGUCUGAUGCAGUUUCCGGACUUCGGUCCGAUGCAGUUUCCGGAAUUCAGUCCGAUGCAGAGGGCAAGGCCCUGGUUAGUUUCCGAACUUCGGUCAGAUGCAGUUCCGGACUUCGGUCCAAUGCAGAGGGCAAGGCCCUGGUUAGUUCCGGACUUCAGUCCGAUGCAGUUUCUGGACUUCGGUCCGAUGCAGUGGGCAAGGCCCAGUAUAUGCUUUAUAUGUUAUUGUAUGGUAUGUGGUGGUUUGGGGAGAGUCACUAAGCUUCGUGAUUACAGGUUUCAGUUUUGGUUUAAGGUACUCAGUUUUCAAAAGAGGAGCUCGGGAAGAUUGCAGUGCACACACCAAUUGUUCAACCUGGGAUGUUUAUACUCUGAUAUACUUUACAGUUGUUAUAAUAUUUUGAGAUACAUUGCUUAUGAUUUUUAUAUGAGGUUUAUCGACUAUGGUUUUUAUUUUUAAAUUAACGAAUUUUUCAGACUGUGUUUUUGGGAUGUUACAGGUUCCGACGGGUACCCAACGGGUAGCGCUUCCGAAAAAUAAAAAACUGAAACCGAAACUGCUUAACGUGGUUCCGGUUCUAGAACCGGCGGUUCCAAUUCCGGUACUGGUACUGGAUACCCUGUUCCGAUGCUCACCCUUACUCGAAGGUAGGACUUUCUUUACUUUGUAUGGCGUUACACAACUGUCAUAUGGCUGUGUCAGGAUCUGCUAGCCACGUAUCCUCGUACAGGCUGUAUUCUCAUGGUUUGGAUGUACAAUUGCUACUGUUGCGACGUCACUUUGUACUUUUCGUCGGCCUUUCUAUUCCUUUCGAGCCUUCGUGCUAGUUUAGUAUAUAAGUGGGCAACUUCGAGACAUAUGGGGCAGGCGACUUGGCAGUUCGGUAUAUUUGGUAUAUUUGGGAAGGAUAUAAGGUCUCAUUUGAUAGUUUCUGUUUGGGAAAGUGUUGUCUGGUAAAGUGUUGUUUGGGAAAGUUUUCUAAGUGUGAAAAAAACCAUGUUGUGUGAUUGUACAUCUGAUUGACUGUGCUGAAUGAUGAAAAAUGACCCGGUUUAUGUCCAAUAGUGAUGAAAUGGAUGAGAUUUUUUUUAAAUAAAUUAGGAUGGUGGUGUUGUCCAAAAAAAGAAUUAAACCAAUAAAAAUGAAUUAAAGUUGUAUUUAUUAAUAUAUAAAUAUUAUAUAUUAUAAAUAAUAUUUAUGAAUAUAUAAUAACCCAAUGAAAAAUUAAUCCAUAAAAAAGAAAUUUAAAAAAAAAGAA